rnacentral:rRNA from 1 species
AACGAACGCUGGCGGCAUGCCUAACACAUGCAAGUCGAACGAGACCUUCGGGUCUAGUGGCGCACGGGUGCGUAACGCGUGGGAACCUGCCCUUGGGUUCGGAAUAACUCCCCGAAAGGGGUGCUAAUACCGGAUAAUGUCUUCGGACCAAAGAUUUAUCGGCUUUGGAUGGGCCCGCGUUGGAUUAGCUAGUUGGUAGGGUAAAAGCCUACCAAGGCGACGAUCCAUAGCUGGUCUGAGAGGAUGAUCAGCCACACUGGGACUGAGACACGGCCCAGACUCCUACGGGAGGCAGCAGUGGGGAAUAUUGGACAAUGGGCGAAAGCCUGAUCCAGCAAUGCCGCGUGAGUGAUGAAGGCCUUAGGGUUGUAAAGCUCUUUUACCCGGGAUGAUAAUGACAGUACCGGGAGAAUAAGCUCCGGCUAACUCCGUG